UUUUCUCUUCAUGCCAGAGGGGAAGCUGGAAUCGGCUGUGAGCUAUUCCAUAUUAUGGCCCAUCCGGAAUGUUCAUAAUGGAGAUGAGUGCACUCGUGAUUUCCUUUAUGGUAUUGGGGAAGACAAACAACGUUCUGCCAGGCUGACUGCAUAUUUCCAUACACCACAAAGCUAUUUUAUUCAAGUAUUAAUUAUGUUUGUAGAUUCACUGAAAUUUUGAAUAUGAGUGUGAGUUAACCCUUGGUUUGGUACUAAUCAACAUAAUUUCCUUCAGGAGUAUGAGAAAUUCUAUCAGAAGUUGCAAAUAAAAAAUUUAACUCCUUUGCCAGUGAAGUCUUCUUCAACUAGACAUUUGUGUUGCAGUGAUGGACGCCCUUUACAUGUUUACACUGAUAUACCUCAAGUUGAAGAAUUUUUAACACGUCCUGAAUUUGUAAUCACAACUGAACCCAAGGAUGCAGAUAUCAUAUGGACAAGUAUGCAGGUGGAUGAUGAAAUGAAAAAGGCUACUGGAAUUACAGAUCAGCAAUAUGUAAACCAAUUUCCUUUUGAGGCUUGUCUUGUUAUGAAACAUCAUUUGGCAGAUACUGUUCAGAAGGCCUAUGGGUCUCCUGAAUGGUUGCAACCUACUUAUAAUCUAGAGACACAUCUAUCUCCAUUUAUUGGUGACUAUUCCAUACGUAAAAGAGAUGGAAUGAACAACCUAUGGAUCUUAAAACCUUGGAACAUGGCGCGUACUAUUGAUACAACUGUAAUUGAUAAUUUGUCUGCUAUAAUCCGCCUGAUGGAGACUGGUCCAAAAAUAUGCCAGAAAUAUAUUGAGCACCCUGCAUUGUUUCAAGGGAAGAAAUUUGAUCUCCGUUAUAUAGUGCUAGUUCGGAGUAUGAAGCCUUUGCAAAUAUUUAUUGCAGAUACUUUCUGGGUGAGAUUGGCAAAUAACCAAUACACUCUAGACAAGCACAGCCUUUUUGAGUACGAGACUCACUUCACUGUUAUGAACUAUCGUGGGCGACUGAAUCACAAGAACACGCCAGAGUUUGUUAGUGAAUUUGAACAAGAACAUCAAGUUAAAUGGUUGGAUAUCCAUGAGAGAGUGAAAGCUAUGAUUCGAUCUGUUUUUGAAGCAGCUGCUCAAGUACAUCCAGAAAUGCAUAGUCCAACAUCGAGGGCAAUGUAUGGUGUGGAUGUAAUGCUUGAUCGCUCAUUUCGGCCAAAGUUAUUGGAGGUAACUUACUGUCCUGACUGUACAAGAGCAUGCAAGUAUGAUACACGGUCUAUUUUAGGAGACGGAGAAAUAAUCAAGGGCCAAGAUUUCAUCAAUUACGUGUUUGGUUGUCUAUUUUUGGAUGAAACUACCAAUGUAAGCCCCCUGUAACCGAGUUAUGUAGGCUAAAAUGUGAGGAGACAAUUGAAUACAUCAAUUUAGUAUUUGCACGAUGCGGCUGUUCUAAAAUGUUACUGUUGUUGAGACCUCAAUGAACACGAUUUACACACGGUAGGUGUGGCCUGUAUUUUAUAUUUAAUUAGUCGUUUUACCCGCACAUUUAUUAUAUUAUUUUAAUUUAAAAUUUCUAAA
rnacentral:misc_RNA from 1 species